rnacentral:ncRNA from 1 species
GUAUAAUGAUGCAAUAAUCGGCAACUCAGUGAAGAGGGUUUAGUCAGCCUUGCUGAGAACGGUUUGAAUGCAAAGUCUUGUUUAUAUGGGAUACUGUAUAAUUAAGGCUUCUUGUUGAUAGUGAUUGAUACAGGGUAAAGACAGAGGUCUUAAGUGCAAGAACCGGUUGCCGGUCUAUAUGAGCAAAUAGUAAAUCCAACGAGUCGGAGCGAUAAUUGAGGAGAUUCACAGCAAUGGGAAUCAAUGCGGCUCUUAAGUGCUAUAUGGGGACAUAUAGAUUACUGAGAGUAAUUCCAAAACAAGCUCUUGCCAAUGAACCGGAGAAAUCCGGCUAUAAGACAAAACAGGAUUGUGCGAGUACCACAAGGCGUUCUUUUACAAGAAUAUUUUUGGUAAAUAUUUUAAUGAAAAUGCUGAAUGACGUGGGAAAGUUGGGGGUAUCAUUCCCCUCAGAGCAUUGGGCGAAAGCCGGGGCGUACAGGUUAGGACGACGGUCCGAAGCUUCAGGUAUGUCUCCUCUGUGACAGAAUAUUGCGUAGUAUAGGUUUGGGUAGGGCGAAGGUCCGCCGAUUAUUGUUUUUUUUA